GAUGAACGCUGGCGGUAUGCCUAAUACAUGCAAGUCGUGCGGAAAGGCCCCUUCGGGGGUACUCGAGCGGCGGACGGCAGAGUAACGCGUAGGAACGUACCCCAAACUGAGGGAUAACUGCUCGAAAGAGUAGCUAAUACCGCAUGUGGUCUUCGGACUAAAGCUUCGGCGGUUUGGGAACGGCCUGCGUUCGAUUAGCUAGUUGGUGAGGUAAAUGCUCACCAAGGCGACGAUCGAUAGCUGGUCUGAGAGGAUGAUCAGCCUGACUGGAACUGAGACACGGUCCAGACUCCUACGGGAGGCAGCAGUAGGGAAUUUUGGACAAUGGGCGCAAGCCUGAUCCAGCCAUGCCGCGUGCGGGAAGAAGGCCUUCGGGUUGUAAACCGCUUUUGUCUAGGGAAGAAAUCUUCUGGGUUAAUACCUCGGGAGGAUGACGGUACCUGAAGAAUAAGCACCGGCUAACUACGUG
rnacentral:rRNA from 1 species